rnacentral:rRNA from 1 species
UGAGGAAUCUUGCACAAUGGGCGAAAGCCUGAUGCAGCGACGCCGCGUGGAGGGUGAAGGUCUUCGGAUCGUAAACUUCUGUUAAGUGGGACGAAGGACGCAGUUUUAAUAGAAUUGCGGGAUGACGGUACCAUUAGAGAAAGCACCGGCUAACUUCGUGCCAGCAGCCGCGGUAAUACGAAGGGUGCAAGCGUUAUUCGGAAUGAUUGGGCGUAAAGGGUGCGCAGACGGUUAAUUAAGUCAACUGUUAAAUUUCUCAGCCUAACUGGGAGCUCGCAGUAGAAACUGAUUGACUAGAGGAUGGAAGAGAGAAGUGGAAUUCUCGGAGUAGCGGUAAAAUGCGUAGAUCUCGAGAGGAACACCGAUGGCGAAGGCAGCUUCUUGGUCCAUUCCUGACGUUCAGGCACGAAAGCGUGGGGAGCAAACAGG